rnacentral:rRNA from 1 species
UAGCAUAAUAAAUAGUCUCUUAAUUGGAGUCUAGUAUGAACGGUCGGACAUGAAGUAAGCUGUUUUAAUUUUGAUAUUUGAAUUUUACUUUUAAGUGAAAAGGCUUAAAUUAUAUGGUGGGACGAUAAGACCCUAUAAAGCUUUACGUUUUAUUCUUCAGUUAUAAGACUUAAGGUUUCUUAUUCUUAUUGAAUAAAGUGUUUUGUUGGGGCGACGGAAAUAUAAAUUGGUAACUGUUUUUAUUCAAAAAAUAUGUUUUUAUAGGGGAGUUGAUCCUUAUUUAGAGAUUAUAAGAUUUAAGUUACUUUAGGGAUAACAGCGUAAUUUGUCUUGAGAGUUCAUAUCGACAGAUGUAGUUGCGACCUCGAUGUUGAAUUAAAAUGCCCCCCAGGUGUAGCAGUUUUGGUGGUAGGUCUGUUCGACCUUUAAAA